UCUCCGUAGGUGAACCUGCGGAGGGAUCAUUACAGAGUUCAUGCCCUACCGGGUAGAUCUCCCACCCUAUGUUAUUAUUACUUUGUUGCUUUGGCGGGCCGUUAGGCUCCGGCCCGACUACCGGCCCCGGCUGGUAAGCGCCCGGCAGAGGACCCAAAACCCUGAAUAUUAGUGUCGUCUGAGUACUAAAUAAUAGUUAAAACUUUCAACAACGGAUCUCUUGGUUCUG
rnacentral:misc_RNA from 1 species